UCUUUCUGAAAGUCACAUACAAUAUUCGAGGACAAUUUUGGACCGUUAAACAAUAUUAAUAUUAAUCAAAAUAAAACGAAUGAGAGCUAGUAGAUUAAAUCAUCCUACGACAGUUAUACUUUCUUUAUUUUUUUAGUGGCAACAAUUUCUAUAUAUAGAUGUUUUAUUUAGUUGCAAUAUUUCCUUUCUUGAUAAAGGUUGUAAACUUGUAAUUUGACCAAUUUAUCCCCAUUUUACCUAUCCCAUAUGCAAAAAGUAUAGGUAAUUGGGUCAAAUGUUACGCUCUCUCCUAUUUUCUUAAUAUUUGUGCAAAAAAACAUUUGUUGCAACUAAAAAACAAACAAAAUACAUUUUAUGGAACUCAAGUUUGACAAAUUGCAAUUAAGACUUUAUUCUUUUGGACUUCUUUUCCGUUCAGUUACUCCGUACAUUUUAGAUCCUUUCAAUUCUGUUCAGUGUCUUCCUGUCCAAAAAACGGGGCCUAAUUUGCAAGGAGACAUAUAAGAGGGGAAAAAACUACUAAUUUCUUCCGUUUCAAUACUUUCAACUUCAACUUUCAAAGUUGAAACCAUUCUUCCCGCCAGAAACAAGUUUUCUGCUCUCAAAAACUGAAGUUCGGCGAAUUCUUCCGUAAAUCAAACAGCGACAAUUCUCAAUUCAGAGAACUGUAAAUUUUCUAAACAAUUGAAGGAAAGAGAGAGAGAUUGUUGCUCAUCAAAAGACGACAGAAUUAUGAUCGAAGGCAUUGAAGUUCUCAGAAAUUUCAGAAAUGGUUGUUCAAUACCUAAUUGAGAGGAUAAAAAGGGAGUAAUCUUGAUAAAAGGUCACAGUUGUCUGAACAAGUUGCUUUUCAUUAUUAAGAUGGUAGAACAUAUCCAUGAUUCUAGCUCUGACUUAAGUAGAAGACAAGAAGAAGGAUACGGAGAAAUGUACAACUUCCUGGUUGGGUCUCAUUUGUCAUUGUUGAAUCAUUUUACCACUGGGGGAGUGGGCUUUGGGUCCCUCAUGCUGUUGAUACUAUGAGCUAGAAAUAGACAUGAGCUUCACUGCCAAGGUUGAUUACCUAGUUUAUUCUGCAUGUGGAAAGUAAUUCACCCACGUAAGAGCUGAAAUACAUGCAAAAACAUGAUCACGUUCGAAAUGCAUGUUGCACGUGUCUGUGCUUCCAGUUGAUCAUACGCCGGAAACCUAAAGACAAAGUUGAACUAUCUGAGGUGGUUCUGGGAUCGCCCCUACGACGCGUCGACACCCAGUUGAUGUAGAGAGAGAAAGUGUCGAGAUAUGCUCUGUUUUGUUAGGUGAGAAUUCAAUACCUCCUUAUUGAUGACACUAGUGAUAUUUAUAGUAUUGCUAAUUCUCAAACCGGCAACAUUGAUGUGAUGGGCUUUCCUUGAGAUCAAUGGCUAUGUUGCCUUUUUAGGCAAUUAGCCUUUCCAGCCCCAUUUGUGGAUCCCUAGACACCUUAGAGCUAGGUCAACUCUCACGUAGGACCCACUGUGCCACAUGUCUAAUAACUUAUAAUGAUGCGGUAGAGAUUUUGGGCUGACCCUUUAUGGAGCCCAAACAGUACCCUACCAUUACAAAACUAUAUUGUUUUAUUCCUAAGGGUAGUUAACAUGUACACUUUACUCUUAAUUGUCAUAUAACACUCUUAAUCAUCGCAUGCCAAUGAAUAGGGUUUUUCUUAAUUUCCACAGCAAAGAAAGAGAAAUUGAAGAGUUGUUCUUGUUGCAUUAUGUACAUGGUAUAAGUCGAUGACAUAGACUACUUCAGUCUGCAUUAUGUGUUUGAAAGCUUUGUUGACAAUUGUUGGAUUUUGGCUGUUGGUUUUUCUUUCUUGCUUUGUCUUUUCAAAUGUAUAAUUGAAGUGAUGAUAUUAUUAUUAUCGUUAUCAUUAUCAUUCAUUAUUAUUAUUAUUUGGUAAAAUUUCACUGUAGAGAGAAAAACUUGUAUUCUACUAUUCUCACAGGGAUUGAACAGACUUGAAUGAGCAUAUAUCAGCAGUAAAGUAACCUCCUACAGGCUAACGCUGGUGGAGAACAAUCAGGUAACAACUAUUUAUGGUUAGAGAUGAUGGACUUCUACAGGAUAUUGUGCCAUCCCAAAUGCGAAAUGAUCAACCAACUAAAGCAGAGUAGGAAAUCUGGAUUACUACAUAUAUUUCUACAUAUAUAUUCUAUAUUCAGAUGAUUAUAAUGUGGAUUUUUAUUACAUAGUAGUACUAGUAUAUCCUUUCAUUUACGCCGACACCUGUUACGGUGGCUGCGCGCCUCCGGUUGCCGCGCUGAGGACGGUGUCGCCGACGAACUCCGACGACGAGGAUAUUCUAGAAGAGGACGAGAUGUCGAUAAUGAAAGGAUAAUGAUGGAUAUAAAUAAUGAUGUGUCAAACAGAGUAUACGAACUGGAGAUGAGCAGUAUCAGAUACUUUGUAUUAGCUUUGUGAAAAACUUGAAGUGGCAGGCCGUCCGACCAAUUCUUAAGGUCAGACGGUCUGACACAAUACUUUCACUAUAAAGUAUUACAAAGAUAUGAAAGAGAGAGAAAGCGCGAGCACAUAUGGAAAUAGAAAAUUAUGAGAAGGAACAUUAAAAAAGGGUUUGAAGAGAUCAAAUAAUAUGACGUGACAUUUAAAAACCAAAAAAAAUAAAAGUCAACGUCGGAAACUGAAAUAAAUAGCUGUCAACAACAAAAUUGUAAAAACAAAAUAUUUUAUAAAGUAGUUUCCGCAAAAAUUUGAAAAAUUAGAGAUAAUUUCGAACAAAAAAUCUUAUACCGACUUUAUUACUACUAUAAAAAUGAGCCACCUCCUAAGUUCCAUCCCCAAAACACAACAUUUUAAAAUCUAUUUGGACAAGGAGAUACAACGAGAUUCCACCGAACAAGGAUAAACUUUGGUGAUUUGCAUGAAUUUUUAUUCAUGAGUUUCAAAACUUGUAAGUUGUAAUUGGGGAAAAUAAAACUCACAACUCAAUAUUAGCAAAUAUAAGAAAAAUAAAGGGUCACUUUUAGUUUAAAAGAACAAAAAUUAGCUAGUGCUAGUAAUUUUGCAUGUUCUUUAUGCCUAGCAUGAAAUAUUAUUUCUCUGAGACCUGAAUUUUUUUCUCUGUUAUUUCCUUAUUGAUGAUUUUACUUGAAAUCCUACCACUAUUUAAAAUUACAUAAAAUCUUCUUAAUUUUUCUAAUAAAUGUGAAAACAUA